UACAGAGGUCUCAAGCGUUGUUCGGAUUCAUUGGGCGUAAAGGGUGCGUAGGUGGCGCCGUAAGUCAGGUGUGAAAUUCGGAGCUUAACUCCGAAACUGCAUUUGAUACUGCGGUGCUUGAGGGACUGGAGAGGAGACUGGAAUUUACGGUGUAGCAGUGAAAUGCGUAGAGAUCGUAAGGAAGACCAGUGGCGAAGGCGGGUCUCUGGA
rnacentral:rRNA from 1 species